CAGCCCUAAACGAUGCGCGUUAGGUGUAUCGGUGACCACGAGUCACCGAGGUGCCGAAGGGAAACCGUGAAACGUGCCGCCUGGGAAGUACGGCCGCAAGGCUGAAACUUAAAGGAAUUGGCGGGGGAGCACAACAACGGGUGGAGCUUGCGGUUUAAUUGGACUCAGCGCCGGGAAGCUCACCGGAUAAGACAGCGGAAUGAUUGCCGGGCUGAAGACCCUGCAUGACCAGCUGAGAGGAGGUGCAUGGCGUAGUCGUGU
rnacentral:rRNA from 1 species